rnacentral:rRNA from 1 species
GUAGUUAGCCGGCGCUUCUUCUGCAGGUACCGUCACUUUCGCUUCUUCCCUGCUGAAAGAGGUUUACAACCCGAAGGCCGUCAUCCCUCACGCGGCGUCGCUGCAUCAGGCUUGCGCCCAUUGUGCAAUAUUCCCCACUGCUGCCUCCCGUAGGAGUCUGGACCGUGUCUCAGUUCCAGUGUGGCCGAUCAGCCUCUCAGCUCGGCUACCCAUCGUUGGCUUGGUGGGCCGUUACCUCACCAACUACCUAAUGGGACGCGAACCCCUCUUAAAGCGGAUUGCUCCUUUGACCUCAUCCCGAUGCCGGGUCGUGGUCUUAUGCGGUAUUAGCACUUGUUUCCAGGUGUUAUCCCCCUCUUUAAGGCAGGUUGUUCACGCGUUACUCACCCGUUCGCCACUAAGUACAAAACCGAAUCUUGUACUCCGUUCGACUUGCAUGUGUUAGGCACGCCGCCAGCGUUCGUCCUGAGCCAGAAUCGAACCCUGA